UGCCAGCCGCCGCGGUAAUACGAAGGGGGCUAGCGUUGUUCGGAAUUACUGGGCGUAAAGCGCACGUAGGCGGACUUUUAAGUCAGAUGUGAAAUCCCAGGGCUCAACCCUGGAACUGCCUUUAAAACUCCCAGUCUUGAGUUCGAGAGAGGUGAGUGGAAUUCCGAGUGUAGAGGUGAAAUUCGUAGAUAUUCGGAGGAACACCAGUGGCGAAGGCGGCUCACUGGCUCGAUACUGACGCUGAGGUGCGAAAGCGUGGGGAGCGAACAGGAUUAGAUA
rnacentral:rRNA from 1 species